rnacentral:rRNA from 1 species
GGGGAAUAUUGCACAAUGGAGGGAACUCUGAUGCAGCGACGCCGCGUGAGUGAUGAAGGCCUUCGGGUCGUAAAACUCUGUCCUAAGGGACGAUAAUGACGGUACCUUAGGAGGAAGCCCCGGCUAACUACGUGCCAGCAGCCGCGGUAAUACGUAGGGGGCGAGCGUUGUCCGGAAUUAUUGGGCGUAAAGGGUGCGUAGGCGGCCUUUUAAGUCAGAUGUGAAAGGUCACGGCUCAACCGUGGUAAGCAUUUGAAACUGGAAGGCUUGAGUUAAGGAGAGGAAAGUGGAAUUCCUAGUGUAGCGGUGAAAUGCGUAGAUAUUAGGAGGAAUACCAGUGGCGAAGGCGACUUUCUGGCCUUAAACUGACGCUGAGGCACGAAAGCGUGGGGAGCAAAC